CCCACUGUGCACCAAAGCAGGAAUGCCGAUAUUUUUAUUACUUUUUUUAACAGAGGUAACUCCAUUGUAAUGGUCAUCUAAACUAGAAGUUGCCAUCUCACCACGUAAACAAAUUAUUUACACUAUGAUGUUGUUUCAGGGGGAACCAAAUUGGCAUAUUUGUUGACAAUUUGUUAUUCGGUGCUCUCAUUGGCUAUAUGGCUCUAGACCUGUCUCAGUUUCUCCAUCUGUGAAAAAGAGAUAAUAGUUCCUCUAUGCCAAGCGUAAUUCUUGGAGUUUCCGUUGCGGCUCUGUGGGUUAUGGACCCAACCUGUAUCCACAAAGAUGCAUGUUCGAUCCCUGGACUCCAUCCAUGGGUUAAGGAUCCAGCAUUGCCAUGAGCUGUGGUACAGGUCACAGAUGCAGCUUGGAUCCCACGUGGCUGUAGCUGUGGCAGAGGCUGGCAGCUGUAGCUCCCAUUCGACCUCUAGUCUGGGAACCUCCCUAUGCCACUGUGUGGCCCUAAAAAGCAAAAACAAAACAAAACAGUAUAUUCUUAUGAACAAAUGGACUCAAACACAACAAUGUAGCAAAAGCACUUUGUAAAUGUUAAAAAAAAUAAACACAAAUACUCUUUUCCAGCACACAAGCUUUUCCACGGUAAGCCUUGGGUCAGGGAGUAUAUAUAGGGAGGGGAGAUUAAAAGAAAACUUUAAAUAAGAUUUAUCUUAAGUACAGUAUCUUCUCUUCUAGACAGCCUAGAAAAUUAAUUAUACAGCUACUAUUUUGUUAACAAUGAUUAAGAAUUGAAACAGGAAGGUCCAAGAAUUCAACAACAAUUUGCACUAGGUCAAUCUGCUCAUCCAGACAGAUAUGCAGUGAGCAUUUUAGGAGAUUUAUAUUCCAUAUUCGUGGAUAUUUGAUUAAGAGACAUUAUAAUUCAUUAUAUCCAUCCUUUCCAGCAGUAGUAAUUAUUUUCUCAUUUUAGGUCAUUUUACUACUGUUUCAAAUUUAUUAUCUCACUAAAUGCACUUUACCAAUUUUUUCCUGCAAAAUUCCAUGAUAUUUAUCUCAGCUUCCACUGCACGUUUUAACAGUUAAGUCGAUGUCUACAUCAGCACUUCUAUUAUGCAUUUGUUUUUUAGGAGUUAAAACUCAUCCAUAAAAAUUAACUAAGGCUGAAACUUGGCAGACAGCUUAGAAGCACAUUUUGUUUUUACCAACCUUCAAGAAAAUCCAUAUGGCUGUUUCUAAAUUCCUGUACAUCAGGCUUAAAUCAAAUAAAUCCUGGCCAACAUGAGACACUUAUUUAAACUAAUUCACUUCAAAAACAGAAUUUUUUUAAUGCAAUUAUGUCAGGACUGGCUCUUAUCUCUCCUCCAAGUCCCUCGGCCCCACCCUGGGUGGACACCUCGUCACCCUGGUGGCUGGCCUGGCCACCACCUGCAGCCCAACAGGUCUAACCAUGCAAUGCACAGUUAUGGUUUCGUGUUUUCAUAGGACUGCAAAGUUUUCUGGAAGCUGCCAAGUGAAUUGACACAUCAGAGAUUUCCCUGGCUCAGCCCUGCUCUUCCUCUGUCCUACCCAAAGACAUGCCCCUUUCAAUAUUGCGGUCACAUCCAUAAGCCUGGAAGGCAGCCUGUGAAAAAACUACUUCUCACCCCUAUAGGCAGAGCUGUCUCUAAUCUGAUGAAUCAGGCCAUGGCUUUGAACUGUUGGAAAAGAAUUCUCCAAGGAUCUCUCCUAUUUCUGCACAUCUUGCAAAUGAGGCACUGACUGCUCUUUUGUUCCAGACCACCUUUUCAAGGAUGUUUAUAUAGUGAACAGCCUUGCAAAGCAGAGGUAGGGCAGGGUCUCCCUCUAGGGAAAGGGGCAGGCAUGCUUACUUUCCAGCAUAAUAAAAGAUAAUGUCUCUCCAAAAUAAAGGGCAGGCAGGUUUACUGCCCGUUAUGAUGGAUUCAGGCUCCUAGACGCCUAAACAGGAGCGUUCCUCUUCUGCCCUUUCAGGUAUCAUCUGAUCCUUUUCACAGUCACCCUGGGGGAAUGUGGGGCUUGAGGAACUUGCACGUAAAUGCUGACUCUCUGGCAACUGCUAUUACUAUGAGUAAUAAAAUGUCCUUUAUCUCUGAUCCAGGGGUCUGAUCUCUUCUAACAACAUUCAUGAAACUGAGGCAGGCUACCUUGUGAGCCUGCAAAUAGGAUGAAACUCAGACUCUUGCAAGGAGGAUGAAAACCAUAGACAAUAAGCAAGAGUGACAAGAGGCAUAUCAGGAAAUUAUACAACCAAAGACUUUGUACCACGAGACGUAUCUACUCUAUUCCCAAAGAUAUAAAGCAGUUACACGGAAAGCGUGCUCUCCAGCUGACAUUUUAUAUGAAGAUAACUUAGGACUGAACAUGGCUAUUUAGAAGCUUGAAAUAAUAAGUAGUUUUUAUUGAGAACCUACUAUUUACUAAACACUGUGCUAAACACUUUAUAUAUGUAUUUCAUCAGAAUAACCUUACAAUAAAUAUGAAAUCUUAUUACGCCCCAAUGUGUAUGUAAAUAAAUUGAAGCCUACCAAAGGUUAGUAACUUGCCCAAGAUUUCAUAACUAGUGUGUGGCAAAGCCAGAACUCAAACCCAGAUCUGCUUAGUGCCAUAACCCAUGUCCUAACCACUUUGCCAAACAUGAAGAGAUUAUGAGUGGUAUCCUACAAAUAAGAGAGGAUGAGUCUUCAAUUGUUUAUCAGCCAACACUUGUAAUGGGCACUUUACUAUGAACCCAAAACAUACAACUUAUGUCAUUUUAAGGAACACGUAUAGAGUGUCCACUACAGUCAAGACACAACACUAGAAGAUGCUAAUAAGGGCUAUACAGAAGGACUGGUAAGGCAGCUGAUCCAAAUGGCAUUCACAGCCUAGUGAGGGAGAAAGCCAUACUAACACAAGGUAGAGGUAAAUAAAUGGAGAAAGGGAUAGGAGCUCUUAAAGUGCCAAGGGAAGCUUCAUAGCAGAUUAUUUAAGCCGCAUCUCAAAGAGUGAAUGGGAAUUUUUUUAAGGUAAAGAAUCAAGGAAAGGUACAUUGAGAGCAAAGCAUGAUUAAAGGCACAGAGGAGAAACAUGGGGACGUUGAAAGGGCACAAAUGACCUAGUGUGGCUGGGUGUGUGGAGACUAUAAAGGCAAAUGAGGUUAGAAAGAUAUUUGGGGACCAGAUUUCAGGAGAAUUUCUAUGCCUUCAUAAAGAAAUUGGAAGUCUCUUCUGGAGAAAAAAAAAAAAAAAAACAAGAAGUUUGCAAGAAAGGGACAUGAAUUGAUGACACUGGAAGCCAUGCCAGUUA